rnacentral:rRNA from 1 species
GAUCAUGGCUCAGGAUGAACGCUAGCUACAGGCUUUAACACAUGCAAGUCGCGGGGCAGCAUUCACUUAGCUUGCUAAGUGAGAUGGCGACCGGCGCACGGGGUGAGUAACGCGUAUCCAACCUGCCCUUGUCCACGGGAUAACCCGGUGAAAACCGGCCUAAUACCGUAUGAGGUCACAAGCGGGCAUCCAACUGUGACGAAAGGUUUGGCGGACAAGGAUGGGGAUGCGUCCGAUUAGCUUGACGGCGGGGUAACGGCCCACCGUGGCGACGAUCGGUAGGGGUUCUGAGAGGAAAGUCCCCCACAUUGGAACUGAGACACGGUCCAAACUCCUACGGGAGGCAGCAGUGAGGAAUAUUGGUCAAUGGGCGGAAGCCUGAACCAGCCAAGUAGCGUGCAGGACGACGGCCCUAUGGGUUGUAAACUGCUUUUAUGCGGGGAUAAAGUGGGCCACGCGUGGCCUUUUGCAGGUACCGCAUGAAUAAGGACCGGCUAAUUCCGUG